rnacentral:rRNA from 1 species
UGCUUUACACAUGCAAGUCGAACGGCAGCACGGACUUCGGUCUGGUGGCGAGUGGCGAACGGGUGAGUAAUAUAUCGGAACGUAUCCAAUAAUGGGGGAUAACUAAUCGAAAGGUUGGCUAAUACCGCAUACGCCCUACGGGGGAAAGCUAGGGACCUUCGGGCCUGGCGUUAAUGGAGCGGCUGAUAUCUGAUUAGCUAGUAGGUGAGGUAAAGGCUCACCUAGGCGACGAUCGUAGCUGGUCUGAGAGGACGACCAGCCACACUGGAACUGAGACACGGUCCAGACUCCUACGGGAGGCAGCAGUGGGGAAUUUUGGACAAUGGGCGAAAGCCUGAUCCAGCCAUUCCGCGUGAGUGAAGAAGGCCUUCGGGUUGUAAAGCUCUUUCGCAAGGGAAGAAAACUUAGGCGCUAAUAUCGCUUGAGGUUGACGGUACCUUGAUAAGAAGCACCGGCUAACUACGUGCCAGCAGCCGCGGUAAUACGUAGGUGCGAGCGUUAAUCGGAAUUACUGGGCGUAAAGCGUGCGCAGGCGGUUUUGUAAGUCAGAUGUGAAAUCCCCGAGCUCAACUUGGGAACUGCGUUUGAAACUAUAAGACUAGAAUAUGUCGGAGGGGGGUANAAUUCCACGUGUACCAGUGAAAUGCGUAGAGAUGUGGAGGAAUACCAAUGGCGAAGGCAGCCCCCUGGGAUUAUAUUGACGCUCAUGCACGAAAGCGUGGGGAGCAAACAGGAUUAGAUACCUGGUAUUCCACGCCCUAAACGAUGUUUACUAGUUGUUGGUGGAGUAAAAUCCAUGAGUAACGCAGCUUACGCGUGAAGUAGACCGCCUGGGGAGUACGGCCGCAAGAUUAAACUCAAAUUGAAUUGACGGGGGCCCCGCACAAACCGGUGGAUUAUUGUUGGAUUUAAUUCCGAUGCAAAGCGAAAAACCUUACCUGGGCCUUGACAUGUUC